rnacentral:rRNA from 1 species
CACGUAGGGCGCAAGCGUUGUCCGGAAUUAUUGGGCGUAAAGAGCUCGUAGGCGGUCUGUUACGUCUGCUGUGAAAACCCAGGGCUUAACCCUGGGCUUGCAGUGGAUACGGGCAGACUAGAGGCAGGUAGGGGAGAAUGGAAUUCCCGGUGUAGUGGUGAAAUGCGUAGAUAUCGGGAGGAACACCAGUGGCGAAGGCGACUACCUGGCCUGUUCUUGACGCUGAGGCGCGAAAGCUAGGGGAGCAAACGGG